AGUGAACGCUGGCGGUAGGCCUAACACAUGCAAGUCGAACGGCAGCACAGUAAGAGCUUGCUCUUACGGGUGGCGAGUGGCGGACGGGCGAGGAAUACAUCGGAAUCUACUUUUUCGUGGGGGAUAACGUAGGGAAACUUACGCUAAUACCGCAUACGACCUACGGGUGAAAGCAGGGGAUCUUCGGACCUUGCGCGAUUGAAUGAGCCGAUGUCGGAUUAGCUAGUUGGCGGGGUAAAGGCCCACCAAGGCGACGAUCCGUAGCUGGUCUGAGAGGAUGAUCAGCCACACUGGGACUUAGACACAGUCCAGACUCCUACGGGAGGCAGCAGUAGGGAAUAUUGGACAAUGGGCGCAAGCCUGAUCCAGCUAUACCGCGUGGGUGAAGAAGGCCUUCGGGUUGUAAAGCCCUUUUGUUAGGAAAGAAAAGCAGCAGGUUAAUACCCCGCUGUUCUGACGGUACCCAAAGAAUAAGCUCCGGCUAACUUCGUG
rnacentral:rRNA from 1 species